UACAGAGGGUGCGAGCGUUAAUCGGAAUUACUGGGCGUAAAGCGCGCGUAGGCGGCUUUGCAAGUCGAGUGUGAAAUCCCCAGGCUUAACCUGGGAACUGCAUUCGAGACUGCAUAGCUAGAGUAUGGGAGAGGGAAGUGGAAUUUCAGGUGUAGCGGUGAAAUGCGUAGAUAUCUGAAGGAACAUCAGUGGCGAAAGCGACUUACUGGACACAUAUUGACGCUGAGGUGCGAAAGCGUGGGGAGCAAACAGG
rnacentral:rRNA from 1 species